rnacentral:rRNA from 1 species
AUUGAACGCGGGCGGCAGGCUUAACACAUGCAAGUCGAGCGGAGCGAGGGUGCUUGCACCUUAGCUCAGCGGCGGACGGGUGAGUAAUGCUUAGGAAUCUGCCUAUUAGUGGGGGACAACAUUCCGAAAGGAAUGCUAAUACCGCAUACGCCCUACGGGGGAAAGCAGGGGAUCUUCGGACCUUGCGCUAAUAGAUGAGCCUAAGUCGGAUUAGCUAGUUGGUGGGGUAAAGGCCUACCGAGGCGACGAUCUGUAGCGGGUCUGAGAGGAUGAUCCGCCACACUGGGACUGAGACACGGCCCAGACUCCUACGGGAGGCAGCAGUGGGGAAUAUUGGACAAUGGGCGGAAGCCUGAUCCAGCCAUGCCGCGUGUGUGAAGAAGGCCUUUUGGUUGUAAAGCACUUUAAGCGAGGAGGAGGCUACUUAGAUUAAUACUCUGGGAUAGUGGACGUUACUCGCAGAAUAAGCACCGGCUAACUCUGUGCCAGCCGCCGCCGUAA